CGGAAGUGCCUUUCUGAACUGGACCGACUGAUGCCUAGAGAACACCAAUCAUCCCAGCUCAGAGGGCACUUUCCUCAUUCCGACACUCGAAUUACACCAGGUCAGUCGGUGGAUCGAG
rnacentral:sRNA from 1 species